rnacentral:lncRNA from 1 species
CUGGGAAAAGCUCAAUUUAGUAUUUACUAUCAAAGUCUGUUUUAGGUGUCAAGUGUAUUAGUCCAUCUUUCAAAUUUUGGCGGCUAGAUUUUGUUAUAUAGUGGUACAUAUUUUGAAGCGAUGCCGAUAUAUCAUAAUAUACUUAUAUGAUAUUGUAAAAUGAAGGAUGGAGUAUGAUAUAAAGUGCAUUUUCUCUAUCAAAUAUUUUGUGUUAUGCACACUUUUGAGUUUUUUCUUUUC